rnacentral:rRNA from 10 species
CUCAUAUACCGAUGAAUGCCGUCGCGGAUAACGACAAGUUCAAGAAACUUGCAAAAUGCACCGAGCAACAUGAACGU